UUUUUUCUUUUCUCUGUUUCCUUUUCUUUCUCUCUUUUUUUUUUCUCGAAAUUUAAAUGAGCGUGCGUCAAAGCAAGGAGGGACAAGUUAGACGAGGAAUAAGAAGAAGGAUCGAGAGGAAAAGGGAGACGAAUAGACGAACGUGGGUAGAAGAGAAGAGAAGAGAAGAGAAGAGAAGAGAAGAGAAGAGAAGAGAAGAGAAGAGAAGAGAAGAGAAGAGUAGAGAAGAGAAGAGAAGAGAAGGAGGUGUAGUAGAAGGUGGCAAUAGCAACGGCAAUGGUGGGGAUGGAGGAAGGUGGCAGGAAGAAGGACGAAGGCAGAGAGAGGAGAGAGGAGAGGAAAGGGAGACGACCGGCAAGUCGAAAGAAGACACAAGUUCAUAUCCAAGCGAGAUGUGGGACGAUGUCCCGGAGUAACCUCCAUCAAGGAUGGACUUCCAUCCAGCGUCGCGACCAGGACGUAACUAUACAUCCGCACCUUUCCUCUCACCGGUUAUGCGAGCCCGGAUAGUCUUCCUGUAGCGAGCGUCGGCCCCGAUCAACGAUCAACUCGGUUCGACUUCAUCGCGGAAAAGCGUGCGACGUUGAUUCGACUACCACUAUCUAUCUGUUCUUGGCCGAUAGAUAUAUACAUACGUAGAUCGCAGAAGAGAAUUGCUAAAUCAUAGAUAAUCGAUCUUUUCCUUAUUGCCGAAUAUAAACAUGGUAUGGUAAGAGAUAAAUAUAAUUUAUGUAUCUUGGCAACUCUCCCACAGCUAGAUAUCUGAAAAUAGUUGUAGAUGUCUGAAAAUGUUCAUGGUUUUUGGCGAGCCUGUCUAGUUAGCUAGCUAUAGGAGAAUUCCAAGAGAUAUGAUUCCUCGUUGAUUCGAAAGAAAGUGUUUUGACAAUAUGGAACCACCGAUGAGUCAGAUGGAUAAACGAAUCAGUUUGACAUAGAAAUUUGUUGCUCGAAAUGUUCGAAAAUGGAGAUGGGUGGAAAGGAAAACCUUUCGUUUUCAAGUAAGAACGAAAGAUCAACGCGACCUCUUUCGAGGAAACUAUUCGUAGAUCUUAUGCUAGAUCCGUUGCAUUCGAAGCGACGUUGCAAGUCGAGAAAGUUCGCGGCUUGGUCCACGCGUACUUGUUACGUGCUGCGCUGGCUCCUGUGCCUGCACCACGUCACACGACUUCGCCUUAACCCAGUGCCAGUGGCAGUUGCCCAUGGAACGGCUCCGCUUUUUGGGUCUAGGUCUGAGGAGGGCGUUCACCCUGCCUGCCGUUGUUAACACACUUAGCAUACCGUAGAACGUACGUGGCGGUUGAACCGAGCGCGACCUCUCCUCGUACGAUCUAACGUCGGUGCUUCCACCUUGCAUCUUUGAAAGAACGGAAAGAAAGAAAGAGAGAGAAAGCAAAGCAAAACAAACCAAACCAAACGGUUCCUCGCUCAGAAACGAACGAGCGUGCCCGCGAGCUUCACUUUUUUCGAGCACUUUGACAAAUUUUCUUCUAAUUUCAUUAAAUGUCAAAAUCUUUUCAAAAGAUGAACACGUAGCUAUAGUAACGCAUAGCCUAGUGUACACGAUCGAAGCUAAAGUAAAGCAAAGCAAAGCAAAGCAAAGCAGAGCAAAGCAAAGCAAAGCAAAGCAAAGCAAAGCAAAGUAAAGCAAAGCAAACGGUUCCUCAAUCAGCUGCAGACUAGCGUUUCCGUAAGCUUCACUUAUUCUAAACUUCGACGAAUUUUCUUUGAAUAUCAAAAAGAGAGAGAGAGGAGAGAGAAGAAAGAGAGAGAGAAAGAAAGAGAGCGUUAUUUUAUUGAUUUUAUCGUCAACAAAGCUCAUACUUGACGCGACCUGAAUCAAUGGCUACCAAUGUUCUAGCCUUAUAAUUGAAUAUUAUGUUUUGCAAAUUCAAUGAGCUCCAACUAGUUUCGGAAGAACUAACAAGCUUAUCUAAUAUGUCUUAUUUAAUUAACCAGCUAAUCUUAAUAAUAUCGAGACAAACACAGGAUGGAUAGUUAAAGCACCCAAGGAUAUUAGAAUUUGCAGAACUAAUAGAAGAUUUAAGAAGCAAUUAAGGCAAAGCUAUAUAAUCUCAUUUCAUUGAUUUACAUGAGUGGCUAUUAUCGACUAAUGAUCGAACGCACAAUUACUUCUUCGAGCUGAUAAAUACUAAUCAUUAUAUCUUACUUUAUUUGACGAUUAACGAAUAAUUCUAGAGAGGUAAAACUCGAGAACUAACUACUUGACUCUCUCGCUAUCGAUGGAAAAGUAAAUUUCGAUUAUUGAACCGUAAGACUAUCUCGAUUCUUCGACGAGACGAUACCUCGUCUCGCGCUUAGGUUCCUAGCUCGGUUACCAGUCGAUGAACUUAUCAAUGGUUCGGAACAAUUACUAAGAUCAUUGAACCAACUCAAAGAUUUUACAUUAACGCAAAGAUUUUAUUCGUACUAUUCGGCCACACAAUUGAAUUCACUCUUGGAAACUCUCGAGGAGUCAACUCAAAGCUCUAAUAUCG